rnacentral:rRNA from 1 species
AGUUGUAAUUUGUAGAGGAUGCUUCUGGGUAGCGGCCGGUCUAAGUUCCUUGGAACAGGACGUCAUAGAGGGUGAGAAUCCCGUAUGUGACUGGCUUGCACCCUCCACGUAGCUCCUUCGACGAGUCGAGUUGUUUGGGAAUGCAGCUCUAAAUGGGAGGUAAAUUUCUUCUAAAGCUAAAUACCGGCCAGAGACCGAUAGCGCACAAGUAGAGUGAUCGAAAGAUGAAAAGCACUUUGGAAAGAGAGUUAAAAAGCACGUGAAAUUGUUGAAAGGGAAGCGCCCGCAACCAGACUUUGCGGCGGUGUUCGGCUGGUCUUCUGACCGGUUUACUCGCCGCCGUGAGGCCAUCAUCGUCUGGGACCGCUGGAUAAGACCUGAGGAAUGUAGCUCCCUUCGGGGUGUGUUAUAGCCUCUGGUGAUGCAGCGCGUCUCGGGCGAGGUCCGCGCUUCGGCAAGGAUGAUGGCGUAAUGGUUGUCGGCGGCCCGUCUUGAAACACGGACCAAGGAGUCUAACAUCUAUGCGAGUGUUCGGGUGUCAAACCCCUACGCGUAAUGAAAGUGAACGGAGGUGGGAACUUUUUGUGCACCAUCGACCGAUCCUGAUGUCCUCGGAUGGAUUUGAGUAAGAGCAUAGCUGUUGGGACCCGAAAGAUGGUGAACUAUGCCUGAAUAGGGUGAAGCCAGAGGAAACUCUGGUGGAGGCUCGCAGCGGUUCUGACGU